rnacentral:rRNA from 1 species
UACAGAGGUCUCAAGCGUUGUUCGGAUUCAUUGGGCGUAAAGGGCGCGUAGGCUGCGGGGCAAGUCGGGUGUGAAAUCUCAGAGCUCAACUCUGAAACUGCACUCGAUACUGCUUUGCUUGAGGACUGGAGAGGAGAUUGGAAUUCACGGUGUAGCAGUGAAAUGCGUAGAGAUCGGAAAGAACACCAACGGCGAAAGCACUCUGCUGGGCCGACACUGACACUGAGAGACGAAAGCUAGGGGAGCGAAUGGG